GCUGGGCGGGGUGGCGCCUGCCUGUAGUCCCAGCUACUCGGGAGGCUGAGGUGGAAGGAUUGCUUGAGCCCAGGAGUUCAGGGCUGCAGUGCGCUAGGCCAAUCGGGUGUCCGCACUAAGUUCAGCAUCAAUAUGGUGACCUCCCGGGAGCGGAGGACCACCAGGUUGCCUAAGGAGGGGUGAACCGGCCCAAGUCGGAAAUGAAGCAGGUCAGAACUCCCAAGUUAAUCAGUAGUGGGAUGGCGCCUGUGAAUAGCCACUGCACUCCAGCCUGGGCAACAUAGCAAGACCCCAUCUCUU
rnacentral:SRP_RNA from 2 species